UACAGAGGUCUCAAGCGUUGUUCGGAUUCAUUGGGCGUAAAGGGUGCGUAGGCGGCGCGGUAAGUCGGGUGUGAAAUCUCGGAGCUUAACUCCGAAACUGCAUUCGAUACUGCUUUGCUUGAGUACUGGAGAGGAGAUUGGAAUUUACGGUGUAGCAGUGAAAUGCGUAGAUAUCGUAAGGAAGACCGGUGGCGAAGGCGGAUCUCUGGACAGUUACUGACACUGAGGCACGAAGGCCAGGGGAGCAAACGGG
rnacentral:rRNA from 1 species